AAUUGUUGGUCUUUUUCACUGUUGCAAUUUUGUAGCACAAGAUUUAAGGAAGAUGUGAAGAUCAUGAAGGAAAUGGGAAUGGACGCAUACAGAUUCUCCAUAUCUUGGACCCGAAUAUUGCCUCAUGGAAGGCUGAGUGGUGGAGUGAACGAGGAAGGCAUCAAGUAUUACAGCAACCUCAUCAACGAGCUCUUAUACAACUGUAUACAACCAUUCGUAACACUCUUUCACGUGGAUAUUCCGCAGUCCCUUGAGGACGAG